CCUACGGGGGGGAGCAGUGGGGAAUAUUGGACAAUGGGCGAAAGCCUGAUCCAGCCAUGCCGCGUGUGUGAAGAAGGCCUUCGGGUUGUAAAGCACUUUCAGUGGGGAAGAAAGCCUUGGGGCUAAUACCCUCGAGGAAGGACAUCACCCACAGAAGAAGCACCGGCUAACUCCGUGCCAGCAGCCGCGGUAAUACGGAGGGUGCGAGCGUUAAUCGGAAUUACUGGGCGUAAAGCGCGCGUAGGCGGUCUGAUAAGCCGGUUGUGAAAGCCCCGGGCUCAACCUGGGAACGGCAUCCGGAACUGUCAGGCUAGAGUGCAGGAGAGGAAGGUAGAAUUCCCGGUGUAGCGGUGAAAUGCGUAGAGAUCGGGAGGAAUACCAGUGGCGAAGGCGGCCUUCUGGACUGACACUGACGCUGAGGUGCGAAAGCGUGGGUAGCAAACAGGAUUAGAUACCCGAGUAGUC
rnacentral:rRNA from 1 species